AUGAACAGAUGUUGGUGCAUGCAAGUAUUGACACACUUUGUUAACAGAGAAAGAUAUAUCAGGUCAUGUGAGGGUCAAGUAUUGUAAAGCUCCCACAAUGCUCAUGUACUUUGUUCCAUCUUCAGUACUUAGAGGAACAAGGUGCCAAGUCUUGUUUCUCAUGAGAGCAUCAUACUCUUCAUCCAUAGCUUUCUUCCAGUACUUAUCUUCCAGAGCAUCUUGUAGACCAUCUGGUUCACCUGAAGCACUUAACGAGCCAUACGGAAUGGUGCCAUUAGUUCUUAUUUUUGUCAUAACUUUACCAUGUUGGAGCCUGGUUCGCUGGGCCACAGGUGGAGACACAGGUGCAGUCGAUGCAGAGGAUCCCGGACUUAGAUUCGGUGCGGCAGAACCACCCGACGCAGCCUGGGACACGUGGUCGCUUGCCGUUGGUGCGGACAGAGAUUGAAUCGAGCGAGAGUUGGAGCGGCCCGAGGAGGAUCUCGUACGGGAGCUCGCCUGGUUGGUGGAGUACGCGCUUUCUCCUGGCACGUGAUCCGAGGAGGAUUGCCCCAAAGACUGCGCCGAAUCCCCUCCGUGUUUUGUGCUGGUCUGCUGCUGGAGAUCUUCACCGUUUUGGCUCAAAUCUUCAUCGUUUGCACCCAAAUUUUCUCCUGCAUCAUUAUCUUUCAUUCCUUCCUCGUUUAUCUGCACAGAAGAAGGAGCACGCAAACUUGGCAUAUGGUCAGUCCCUAUUGUGCCCCCUUGAUCGGAUGCUAUAUAUUUAUAUAGCGCUUGCGCGACGGGGGGCCGAAACCAUUAGUCGGUAAGUGCCCCCGAUCAGGGUGCGAUUAGUGGAAUUAACCAUUAACGUUGGUUAAUGGAUUAAUUCCUAAAACACAUAGAUUAAGGACGUGGAAUAGUUUCCCAAAACACAGCCCUCUAAUUAAGGACUUGAUUUUAGGCAUUUGUUACAUGUUAAAACAGAUCAACCAACAGGAGCUUGUUCUUGUUCGAUGGAUUUUUGUUCAUUGAGAAUCAGUGAGUUUGAAGUAUAAGCAUAUGAGCGUACGUACGUGCAUGGUACUGGUUGAGAAGCAUGCAUGCUCUCAUUUUUGAUAUGAUGCGUACGUGCAUGGAAAUAUCAGCUAGCUAAGGAUCGAUUUAUCAGUAUGUUUUGAACAUACGUAUCGAUUGAUCAAUAUGGCAGUAUUAAUCACCUCAAGCAAACUCAAGAAAAAAAGCCAGAGCUGCAUGUGCAUGCUGCACGUACAAACACGUACGCGUAGCCAGCUAUGGAGAAGUUUAUGUACGAUCGUAUACGGCUGGAGGACUCGUACAUACCCGCCGUGGGUUAUUCAGGUCGCUGGUAGAAGGGAUAAGGCCUCCCGCACAACUUCUGCCGAGGAUUAAGGAGCUCGUAGCUAUCCAUUGCUGCACGCGGCUUGUUAGUUGCUGCGUAUAAAAGGCGCAGAUGCCAGCGCUCGUAAGGCAUUCACCUGGACACGGGAGACUUUAACAGAGAAAACUUCCAAGGGCGCACGCAGAAGCAGCAGAGCAUGCUGAAGCUACGCUCAAUCAGGAAGAAGAAGAAGAAGAAACUACAAGAAACACCAAGCUAGCAGAUCAAGCAUUGGUGGCCAGGAGUGAAGGCCACCUCUAGGAGGAAGCCGUCCAGGAGGUUGACGUGAAGCAGCAAGUCGACAGCAAGCUAGAUUUCACGGCCUUUUUCUCUAAUGGUGAGGGAUCCUGGCUGACCCCCUCUCUCUCUCUCUCCCCAACAUCUCUUCCCUGCACGACUGGAGUUGCGGUGGAGGCGACAGUCGCAUGGCCCGAGUUACCAGCAAGCAGCCCAAAGGUUUCUCGGUCGCUGUGCACUGAAGAUUGGCGUCACUGCCCUUCGUCGAGCUCGUCAGCGUGUGGCCCGCGGCAUCGGCGUCAUGGAGGAUGGAGCUCGCCAUCAGCUGCAGCCCGUCAACAUCAACAACAAUACGACGUCGACGUCAUGGAGGACGGAGCUCGCCAACAGCUGCAGCCCGUCGCCGUCAACAACAAUACGACGUCGACAUCACGGAGGAUGGAGCUCGCCAGCAGCCGCAGCCCGUCGCCGUCAACAACAACACGACGUUGACGUACACCAUGGUGGAUGGAGCUAGACGACUCCUGCAGCCUACCACGGCGCCGGUGGAGCCUAUCAUCAAGCUAUCGUCAUCAAGUCAUCAACGGCAAGUCGUCACCGCACGCUCGGUGGAGACAUCACCAUGUCGCCUGUGGCAUCAGGGCCAAGCUUCGCCAACAUGCAACCCGCCAACGCUGCUGCAAGUGGACAUGGGAGCUAGCUAAGCUCCCACCCAUACGUCAUCAAGCUGGGCGGAAGAAGGGCUCAUCGGCAUACACGUCAUCAAGGGCCGUGGCAGAUGUAGCUCGUCACCAUGCUUAGUGGACUUGCCGCCGUGCAGUCCCUAAGGCGUCGCGUGAAGACGACGAGGUGCUGCACCCAUUACUUUGCGGCUCGACCAAGACGAGAAGGCGUGCUGACACCUAUGAUGACCGCCGUGUCAACUCGGCACUACUACAGAAAGGCUUAUCAGUAACGGUCGGGGCCGCCGUUACUAACUUCGUGUUACUGAUCAUGGGUAUCAUCAGUAACAGUCGGUCCGACCAUUAAUGAUGUACCAUCAUCAGUAACGGUCAUUGGGCGGGCCGACAUGACCGUUACUGAGCAAGCUAAUUCAAAUCAGCAAGCUAAUUCUGUAAA